CAAAGAUUCCCCAAGAAUUCUGGUAAUCCUUCUUCAAGUCAAUUUCUUAACAAGACAAUACUUUCAAGACAAUACUCUCACGGCCCAAUCCACUUCCGCGCUCCCGCCAAGAUCUUCUGGCGCACUGUUCGUGGAAUGAUUCCGCACAAGACUAAGCGUGGAGCAGCUGCACUUGCUCGCUUGAAGGCUUACGAGGGUAUUCCUCCUCCGUAUGAUAAGGUGAAGAGGAUGGUCAUCCCUGAUGCUCUCAAGGUGUUGAGGCUUCAGAAGGGGCACAAGUACUGCUUGUUGGGUCGGCUUUCAUCGGAGGUUGGAUGGAACCAUUACGACACCAUCAGGGUAAGAUAAUUGCUUGAUCCCUUUUGUUUAGUUAAUUGUGGAUUGGGUUUCUAAAAAUGGUUCCAAUUAUUAUUUAUAGAUCAUUUCAUUGAUGGUGGUGACUGUAAAGUGUUUAUUGAUAUUUUGUUUAAAAUAGAGUUUGUCUUACACGUGGAGCUUCUGUUUUCCCCG